UGAGGUAAUGGCUCACCAAGGCUACGAUCCGUAACUGGUCUGAGAGGAUGAUCAGUCACACUGGAACUGAGACACGGUCCAGACUCCUACGGGAGGCAGCAGUGGGGAAUAUUGGACAAUGGGCGAAAGCCUGAUCCAGCCAUGCCGCGUGUGUGAAGAAGGUCUUCGGAUUGUAAAGCACUUUAAGUUGGGAGGAAGGGCAGUUACCUAAUACGUGAUUGUCUUGACGUUACCGACAGAAUAAGCACCGGCUAACUCUGUGCCAGCAGCCGCGGUAAUACAGAGGGUGCAAGCGUUAAUCGGAAUUACUGGGCGUAAAGCGCGCGUAGGUGGUUUGUUAAGUUGAAUGUGAAAUCCCCGGGCUCAACCUGGGAACUGCAUCCAAAACUGGCAAGCUAGAGUAUGGUAGAGGGUAGUGGAAUUUCCUGUGUAGCGGUGAAAUGCGUAGAUAUAGGAAGGAACACCAGUGGCGAAGGCGACUACCUGGACUGAUACUGACACUAAGGNCCGNGUGNGGGGGGAGCNAACUUUUUGAAUAGAUACCCUGGUAGUCCACGCCGUAAACGAUGUCAACUAACCGUUGGGAGUCUUGAACUCUUAGUGGCGCAGCUAACGCAUUAAGUUGACCGCCUGGGGAGUACGGCCGCAAGGUUAAAACUCAAAUGAAUUGACGGGGGCCCGCACAAGCGGUGGAGCAUGUGGUUUAAUUCGAAGCNACGCGAAGAACCUUACCAGGCCUUGACAUCCAAUGAACUUUCUAGAGAUAGAUUGGUGCCUUCGGGAACAUUGAGACAGGUGCUGCAUGGCUGUCGUCAGCUCGUGUCGUGAGAUGUUGGGUUAAGUCCCGUAACGAGCGCAACCCUUGUCCUUAGUUACCAGCACGUAAUGGUGGGCACUCUAAGGAGACUGCCGGUGACAAACCGGAGGAAGGUGGGGAUGACGUCAAGUCAUCAUGGCCCUUACGGCCUGGGCUACACACGUGCUACAAUGGUCGGUACAAAGGGUUGCCAAGCCGCGAGGUGGAGCUAAUCCCAUAAAACCGAUCGUAGUCCGGAUCGCAGUCUGCAACUCGACUGCGUGAAGUCG
rnacentral:rRNA from 1 species